rnacentral:rRNA from 1 species
UACGAAGGGGGCUAGCGUUGCUCGGAAUCACUGGGCGUAAAGCGCACGUAGGCGGAUUGUUAAGUCAGGGGUGAAAUCCUGGAGCUCAACUCCAGAACUGCCUUUGAUACUGAGAAGCUUGAGUCCGGGAGAGGUGAGUGGAACUGCGAGUGUAGAGGUGAAAUUCGUAGAUAUUCGCAAGAACACCAGUGGCGAAGGCGGCUCACUGGCCCGGUACUGACGCUGAGACGCGAAAGCGUGGGGAGCGAACAGG